UAGGGAAUUUUGCGCAAUGGGGGAAACCCUGACGCAGCAACGCCAUGUGUGGGAUGAAGCAUUUCGGUGUGUAAACCACUGUCAGCAGGGAAUAAAAGGUCCUCACGGACAUUUGAAUGUACCUGCAAAGGAAGCGCCGGCUAACUUCGUGCCAGCAGCCGCGGUAAUACGAGGGGCGCAAGUGUUGUUCGGAAUCACUGGGCGUAAAGGGAGCGUAGGCGGGCUUUUAAGUUAGGUGUUUAAUCCCGGGGCCCAACCCCGGACCGGCACCUAAAACUGGGAGUCUUGAAUAGUGGAGAGGUCAGUGGAAUUGGGGGUGUAGCGGUGGAAUGCGUAGAGAUCCCCAAGAACACCAGUUGCGAAGGCGGCUGACUGGACACAUAUUGACGCUGAGGCUCGAAAGCAUGGGGAGCAAACAGG
rnacentral:rRNA from 1 species